rnacentral:rRNA from 1 species
CCUACGGGAGGCAGCAGUGGGGAAUCUUGCGCAAUGGGCGAAAGCCUGACGCAGCCAUGCUGCGUGAAUGAUGAAGGUCUUAGGAUUGUAAAAUUCUUUCACCGGGGACGAUAAUGACGGUACCCGGAGAAGAAGCCCCGGCUAACUUCGUGCCAGCAGCCGCGGUAAUACGAAGGGGGCUAGCGUUGCUCGGAAUUACUGGGCGUAAAGGGAGCGUAGGCGGAUAGUUUAGUCAGAGGUGAAAGCCCAGGGCUCAACCUUGGAAUUGCCUUUGAUACUGGCUAUCUUGAGUUUGGGAGAGGUGAGUGGAACUCCGAGUGUAGAGGUGAAAUUCGUAGAUAUUCGGAAGAACACCAGUGGCGAAGGCGACUCACUGGCCCAAUACUGACGCUGAGGCUCGAAAGCGUGGGGAGCAAACAGGAUUAGAUACCCUGGUAGUCCACGCCGCAAACGAUGAGUGCUAGUUGUCGGCAUGCAUGCAUGUCGGUGGACGCAGCUAACGACAUUAAGACGACCGUCCGCCGUCGGGGUAGGUACGGUCGGCGAAGUAAGUUAAAACGUUAACUUAAAUAGUUAAGUUAGUACGGCGUUGAGACGUUGCCGACGGACGACGACGAGGGAGGAGG